rnacentral:rRNA from 1 species
CAGCCGCCGCGGUAAUACGAGGGGAGCUAGCGUUAUUCGGAAUUACUGGGCGUAAAGCGCACGUAGGCGGCUUUGUAAGUUAGAGGUGAAAGCCCAGAGCUCAACUCUGGAAUUGCCUUUAAGACUGCAUCGCUUGAAUCCAGGAGAGGUGAGUGGAAUUCCGAGUGUAGAGGUGAAAUUCGUAGAUAUUCGGAAGAACACCAGUGGCGAAGGCGGCUCACUGGACUGGUAUUGACGCUGAGGUGCGAAAGCGUGGGGAGCAAACAGGAUUAGAUACCCGGGUAGUCCCUGUCUCUUAUAC